GAUGAACGCUGGCGGCGUGCUAAACACAUGCAAGUCGAACGGAAAGGCCCCAGCUUGCUGGGGUACUCGAGUGGCGAACGGGUGAGUAACACGUGGGUGAUCUGCCCUGCACUUUGGAAUAAGCCUGGGAAACUGGGUCUAAUACCGAAUAUGACCACUUCUUGGAUGUUGUGGGGGAAAGCUUUUGCGGUGUGGGAUGAGCCUGCGGCCUAUCAGCUUGUUGGUGGGGUAAUGGCCUACCAAGGCGGCGACGGGUAUCCGGCCUGAGAGGGUGUACGGACACAUUGGGACUGAGAUACGGCCCAGACUCCUACGGGAGGCAGCAGUGGGGAAUAUUGCACAAUGGGCGCAAGCCUGAUGCAGCGACGCCGCGUGGGGGAUGAAGGCCUUCGGGUUGUAAACUCCUUUCGCUAUCGACGAAGCCACUUGUGGUGACGGUAGGUAGAUAAGAAGCACCGGCUAACUACGUGCCAGCAGCCGCCGCGG
rnacentral:rRNA from 1 species